UAUGGAGAGUUUGAUCCUGGCUCAGAGUGAACGCUGGCGGCGUGCCUAAUACAUGCAAGUCGAACGAUGAAGCUUCUAGCUUGCUAGAGUGCUGAUUAGUGGCGCACGGGUGAGUAACGCAUAGGUUAUGUGCCUUUUAGUUUGGGAUAGCCAUUGGAAACGAUGAUUAAUACCAGAUACUCCCUACGGGGGAAAGAUUUAUCGCUAAGAGAUCAGCCUAUGUCCUAUCAGCUUGUUGGUAAGGUAAUGGCUUACCAAGGCUAUGACGGGUAUCCGGCCUGAGAGGGUGAACGGACACACUGGAACUGAGACACGGUCCAGACUCCUACGGGAGGCAGCAGUAGGGAAUAUUGCUCAAUGGGGGAAACCCUGAAGCAGCAACGCCGCGUGGAGGAUGAAGGUUUUAGGAUUGUAAACUCCUUUUGUUAGAGAAGAUAAUGACGGUAUCUAACGAAUAAGCACCGGCUAACUCCGUGCCAGCAGCCGCGGUAAUACGGAGGGUGCAAGCGUUACUCGGAAUCACUGGGCGUAAAGAGCGCGUAGGCGGGAUAGUCAGUCAGGUGUGAAAUCCUAUGGCUUAACCAUAGAACUGCAUUUGAAACUACUAUUCUAGAGUGUGGGAGAGGUAGGUGGAAUUCUUGGUGUAGGGGUAAAAUCCGUAGAGAUCAAGAGGAAUACUCAUUGCGAAGGCGACCUGCUGGAACAUUACUGACGCUGAUUGCGCGAAAGCGUGGGGAGCAAACAGGAUUAGAUACCCUGGUAGUCCACGCCCUAAACGAUGGAUGCUAGUUGUUGGAGGGCUUAGUCUCUCCAGUAAUGCAGCUAACGCAUUAAGCAUCCCGCCUGGGGAGUACGGUCGCAAGAUUAAAACUCAAAGGAAUAGACGGGGACCCGCACAAGCGGUGGAGCAUGUGGUUUAAUUCGAGGAUACACGAAGAACCUUACCUAGGCUUGACAUUGAGAGAAUCCGCUAGAAAUAGUGGAGUGUCUGGCUUGCUAGACCUUGAAAACAGGUGCUGCACGGCUGUCGUCAGCUCGUGUCGUGAGAUGUUGGGUUAAGUCCCGCAACGAGCGCAACCCCCUUUCUUAGUUGCUAACAGGUUAUGCUGAGAACUCUAAGGAUACUGCCUCCGUAAGGAGGAGGAAGGUGGGGACGACGUCAAGUCAUCAUGGCCCUUACGCCUAGGGCUACACACGUGCUACAAUGGGGUGCACAAAGAGAAGCAAUACUGCGAAGUGGAGCCAAUCUUCAAAACACCUCUCAGUUCGGAUUGUAGGCUGCAACUCGCCUGCAUGAAGCUGGAAUCGCUAGUAAUCGCAAAUCAGCCAUGUUGCGGUGAAUACGUUCCCGGGUCUUGUACUCACCGCCCGUCACACCAUGGGAGUUGUGUUUGCCUUAAGUCAGGAUGCUAAAUUGGCUACUGCCCACGGCACACACAGCGACUGGGGUGAAGUCGUAACAAGGUAACCGUAGGUGAACCUGCGGUUGGAUCACCUCCUU
rnacentral:rRNA from 1 species